CUCUAGGUGGGAGGGAGCUGAGGGACACUGGUCCUGAGUGGCCUUCUCAGCCGCUGCCAGCCCUCACAUUUGCCCGCAUUUGAGAUGCGCCCGGUGAGACAGGAAACCUGAGAUCUGUGCUGAGUUGGAAAACACAGCCCGCGUCCCCCAAGCGUCCGACCCUGAUCUUCCAGGCCUGUCCUAGGGUCAGGGGCCCCUUUCUGAGGAUCCUCACCUGGAACUCCACUCGAAGUUUCCUCAGUAGAUGAGUCAGCUCUACCGCCCGGCAGCCCUGCACGAAGUGAACAUGGUCCUGCCGAACAUUUGUAGAGCAGCUAAGACAGUGCAGUAUUGACGUCGCUUACCUCUAG
rnacentral:lncRNA from 1 species